rnacentral:rRNA from 1 species
GAUGAACGCUGGCGGCGUGCCUAAUACAUGCAAGUCGAGCGAACGGACGAGAAGCUUGCUUCUCUGAUGUUAGCGGCGGACGGGUGAGUAACACGUGGAUAACCUACCUAUAAGACUGGGAUAACUUCGGGAAACCGUAGCUAAUACCGGAUAAUAUUUUGAACCGCAUGGUUCAAAAGUGAAAGACGGUCUUGCUGUCACUUAUAGAUGGAUCCGCGCUGCAUUAGCUAGUUGGUAAGGUAACGGCUUACCAAGGCAACGAUGCAUAGCCGACCUGAGAGGGUGAUCGGCCACACUGGAACUGAGACACGGUCCAGACUCCUACGGGAGGCAGCAGUAGGGAAUCUUCCGCAAUGGGCGAAAGCCUGACGGAGCAACGCCGCGUGAGUGAUGAAGGUCUUCGGAUCGUAAAACUCUGUUACUAGGGAAGAACAUAUGUGUAAGUAACUGUGCACAUCUUGACGGUACCUAAUCAGAAAGCCACGGCUAACUACGU